AAGGAUAAUAUACGGAAUAUCACCAUYAGGUGAUAAGCGGAUUAACGUGACAUAUUGUAUUCAGUUUUGAAUGCUCAUUCAUUUGAGGAUUCAGAAUGAUUUGUACAUUGAAAACUAGAUAAGUAAGUAUAGAUUUUACCAAGCAAAACCGAGUGACAAGCGUUUAAAAGCUUGAAACAAAAAAUUAUCGCUAGUCGUCAAAUGACGACUCACAUAAUUAAUAACUGGUGAUUUUGGACAAGAUUGUAUUUCGGUAGACAGACAUGAUGUUUUGAAAACGUUUGUCAGUCUAUGAAUCGCAAGCAUGAGCGAAGGYGCUUACUACGCGUAAGUAACUGAGUGAAUGUGAAGUGAUGAAGCCGAAUGCGAACGUUUGCCAAAAUAUUAUUGUGAUAGGUGACGUAUUUAUGGAUUGACCAAACGUURAUGAAAGCGUUUGUCAGUCAACGCAUUUCUUGAUGCGCGCAGUGAAGUUUACUUUCYGUAAAUGAACAAGCGAAGAAAGAAAUAAGGCAGAAUGCGAACGCUUAUCAUAACGUUWA
rnacentral:misc_RNA from 1 species